rnacentral:rRNA from 1 species
CCGUAGCCCAAGAGAUCGGGAUAACACCUGGAAACAGAUGCUAAUACCGGAUAACAACAGAUGAUGCCUAUCAACUGUUUAAAAGAUGGUUCUGCUAUCACUCUUGGAUGGACCUGCGGUGCAUUAGCUAGUUGGUAGGGUAACGGCCUACCAAGGCGAUGAUGCAUAGCCGAGUUGAGAGACUGAUCGGCCACAUUGGGACUGAGACACGGCCCAAACUCCUACGGGAGGCAGCAGU